CCUACGGGAGGCAGCAGUGGGGAAUAUUGCACAAUGGGCGCAAGCCUGAUGCAGCCAUGCCGCGUGUGUGAAGAAGGCCUUCGGGUUGUAAAGCACUUUCAGCGGGGAGGAAGGCGUUAAGGUUAAUAACCUUGGCGAUUGACGUUACCCGCAGAAGAAGCACCGGCUAACUCCGUGCCAGCAGCCGCGGUAAUACGGAGGGUGCAAGCGUUAAUCGGAAUUACUGGGCGUAAAGCGCACGCAGGCGGUCUGUCAAGUCGGAUGUGAAAUCCCCGGGCUCAACCUGGGAACUGCAUUCGAAACUGGCAGGCUAGAGUCUUGUAGAGGGGGGUAGAAUUCCAGGUGUAGCGGUGAAAUGCGUAGAGAUCGGGAGGAAUACCGGUGGCGAAGGCGGCCCCCUGGACAAAGACUGACGCUCAGGUGCGAAAGCGUGGGGAGCAAACAGGAUUAGAUACCCGUGUAGUC
rnacentral:rRNA from 1 species